rnacentral:rRNA from 1 species
CCUACGGGAGGCAGCAGUGAGGAAUAUUUGUCAAUGGACGCAAGUCUGAACCAGCCAUGCCGCGUGCAGGAUGACGGCUCUAUGAGUUGUACACUGCUUUUGUACGAGGGUAAACCCCGAUACGUGUAUCGUGUUGAACGUCUCGUACGAAUAAGGAUCGGCUAACUCCGUGCCAGCAGCCGCGGUAAUACGGAGGAUCCGAGCGUUAUCCGGAUUUAUUGGGUUUAAGGGGUGCGUAGGCGGUUUGAUAAGUUAGAGGUGAAAUGUCGGGGCUCAACCCCGAAACUGCCUCUAAUACUGUUGGACUAGAGAAUAGUUGCGGUAGGCGGAAUGUAUGGUGUAGCGGUGAAAUGCUUAGAGAUCAUACAGAACACCGAUUGCGAAGGCAGCUUACCAAACUAUAUCUGACGUUGAGGCACGAAAGCGUGGGUAGCAAACAGGAUUAGAUACCCUAGUAGUC